rnacentral:rRNA from 1 species
CUGCAGUCGAGCGGACAGAAGGGAGCUUGCUCCCGGAUGUUAGCGGCGGACGGGUGAGUAACACGUGGGUAACCUGCCUGUAAGACUGGGAUAACUCCGGGAAACCGGAGCUAAUACCGGAUAGUUCCUUGAACCGCAUGGUUCAAGGAUGAAAGACGGUUUCGGCUGUCACUUACAGAUGGACCCGCGGCGCAUUAGCUAGUUGGUGGGGUAAUGGCUCACCAAGGCGACGAUGCGUAGCCGACCUGAGAGGGUGAUCGGCCACACUGGGACUGAGACACGGCCCAGACUCCUACGGGAGGCAGCAGUAGGGAAUCUUCCGCAAUGGACGAAAGUCUGACGGAGCAACGCCGCGUGAGUGAUGAAGGUUUUCGGAUCGUAAAGCUCUGUUGUUAGGGAAGAACAAGUGCGAGAGUAACUGCUCGCACCUUGACGGUACCUAACCAGAAAGCCACGGCUAACUACGUGCCAGCAGCCGCGGUAAUACGUAGGUGGCAAGCGUUGUCCGGAAUUAUUGGGCGUAAAGGGCUCGCAGGCGGUUUCUUAAGUCUGAUGUGAAAGCCCCCGGCUCAACCGGGGAGGGUCAUUGGAAACUGGGAAACUUGAGUGCAGAAGAGGAGAGUGGAAUUCCACGUGUAGCGGUGAAAUGCGUAGAGAUGUGGAGGAACACCAGUGGCGAAGGCGACUCUCUGGUCUGUAACUGACGCUGAGG